rnacentral:rRNA from 1 species
CCUACGGGGGGCAGCAGUAGGGAAUCUUUCACAAUGGGCGAAAGCCUGAUGGAGCAACGCCGCGUGCAGGAUGAAGGCCUUCGGGUUGUAAACUGCUUUUAUAAGCGAGAAAUAUGAUGGUAACUUAUGAAUAAGGAUCGGCUAACUACGUGCCAGCAGCCGCGGUCAUACGUAGGAUCCGAGCAUUAUCCGGAGUGACUGGGUGUAAAGAGUUGCGUAGGUGGGAUAAUAAGUAGCUAGUGAAAUCUGGUGGCUCAACCAUUCAGACUAUUAGCGAAACUGUUAAGCUCGAGACCGUUAGGGGUAACUGGAAUUUCUAGUGUAGGAGUGAAAUGCGUAGAUAUUAGAAGGAACACCAAUAGCGUAGGCAGGUUACUGGGACGGUUCUGACACUAAGGCACGAAAGCGUAGGGAGCAAACGGGAUUAGAUACCCUUGUAGUC